rnacentral:rRNA from 1 species
GACAGAGGGUGCAAACGUUGUUCGGAAUUACUGGGCGUAAAGCGUGCGCAGGCGGUUUUGUAAGUCUGUCGUGAAAUCCCCGGGCUCAACCUGGGAAUUGCGAUGAAGACUGCAAGGCUUGAAUCUGGCAGAGGGGGGGUAGAAUUCCACGUGUAGCAGUGAAAUGCGUAGAGAUGUGGAGGAACACCGAUGGCGAAGGCAGCCCCCUGGGGUCAAGAUUGACGCUCAUGCACGAA